AUAAAAAAAUUUCUAGUGUUUUGAUUUGUUUUCCAAUACAGUAAUGGUCAGUCCCAAACGGAGUGUGCUUGAUUGCUAUGGAUUAAUCCUUGUGUCUACUGAGUUCUCAACUUGACAGGGAUGGUCUUUGAGUUGAUGGAUAAAUCUUGGAGUUAUCUGAAUACUCUCACUGAAUUGUUGACUCUGGCUGACUGAGUUCUCAUGGCUCUGGAUGAGUGGGUCCUCUUGACUUUGGCUGACCAAGUCAACCCUCCUGUCGCCUCCUUCCAAGACACUUUGCAGUUAACUCUUCCUACAAUGAGCUGCUCUUUGAUAGUCGACUCUAUUAGACUCAUUGCAGCACUUAAAUGUUAGGAGGUAAUACACAUGCAAAAAUGGGAAGAUAUUGUUUGGUAAAAGAAGGAGCCAAGGAAGUAUAGCCUGCAGUGGAAAGGAUAUAAUCACUUCAAACCAGAGUACAUAUCAGUCACGUGGGAAGCCAAAGAUAAAGAGUACAAAAUUCAUUAAGCAGUCUUUCAUCCAGCUCUCCGGUGAUUCCUCCAUACACAACAUCCAUAGUCACAGUUGGGGUGAAUAAGAGAGGAAACUAGGAAUUCAUGGGUACUAAUGGGAAGAAGGUGGCACAACGGAACUGAUGGAGGAUGGAAAAGCAAUGGCGGAGAUCUGGGAAAUAUGAAGUUUCCAAGAUAAAAUUCCAAUGGUCCAGGAUCUAAUUGAAUUUAAGCCCUAAAUUUCUUGUGCCGAAAAUUUGCUGGCUUUGCUCCAUGAAGAUGGGCUGAGAUUCAGAUGGUGUUGAAAAUAACCUUCUCCAAAGUUGGGCGGGUCCAUUGUCACUUUAUGAAUAAAGGAAUUGAUUAUUUUCUAAAGAUCCAGCCAGAUUGUAUAGUAUAGCAUCGACGCACAUCAUCACACUUGUAUCCCCUAGCCCUCUGUACCUAACCUCUCACCUACCUUGACCAUAUUAAUUGGAGAUUGAUACACCGCUAACUUCAGUUCAGGCGGCAUACCCGCUGGAAAUUAAGGUAAAUUUGGGAAUCAUCUGCAUAAAGAUUAUGGGAGUCGUUGAGAACCAAUGAACAAGAGAAGCAGAAAUUCUUAAGUGACAGACUGGAGAGGAUGGGCUAAUCUGGGAUGUAUACUAUUGGGAACAACCAUCUCUUUCACCCAGAAGAUUAUCUGUAAGAUUAAAACCACGAGGCUAGACAGACCUAAAUGAUUUAUAAAUAAUAAAAUUCCAAAACAGG